ACGAGUAUUUUGCUUUUUGGUUUUUUCAAAUAUACGAUUCUACCAUCACCAAUAUUUCUUAUUUGCCCUUAAGUUAAGGAAAAAUGUGGUAUUUUAAUUUUUUUUUAACUGUGGUAGAUGUUUAACUCACGUUUAAUCCAAGUUAACUUAACGGGUGAUAACUGUAGGGGUAUUUUAUAGUAACGGAGGAACAUAUGAGGGAUAUAUUGGAAAGAAAAAAAAGAGGUAAAUGAGACAUUUCUGAAGUUUUGAGAGAUAUAUGUGCAAUUAUCCCUCAGAAAUAAUACAAGAAAAAAAUAGAAACAAAAUACUCAUAAACUCUUGAGUAAUUUGUGACCCGUCUUGUGAGAGAGAGAAACCACAUCUUCUAUUAAGCUAUUGUUCUAGAGGGUCUUGAACAGUAAAUUCAAGAUUGU
rnacentral:lncRNA from 1 species